AUUUUUAUUUUUUUUAUUGAAUGUUUUUGUUUUAUUAAAUAAUUUAUGCUUCUUUCCAUAUGGAUAGAUAUUAACUUCUGGGUCUAUUUCACAGUCUAUUAUGAAUUGCCCAUAUUUGAAAAGGAAUAGGUUGGAGGGUAAGAAAUUGGAAUUGAUCAGUCAAAUUUCCAAAAAUUUGGCUGAUUAAUUACCAAUCAUUCUCUCUCAACAAGAUUAAUUUCUUAGUCUAGUCUUUUCUUGUUGUAACAAAUUUGUCUUCCUCCAGCUACUGUAAUGAAUGAGGCUUACUUAGAACAUUAUAUUGAGGAAACAGUUCCUGCAGAAUUGAAACAAGAUUCAACUAGAGCUUUGUUGGAGAAGGUUAACAGACUAAGGUUUUAGGUUAACAGACUUUUUAAAAGAAAUGACCUCCCCUUGUUCCUGACAUUGAUAAAAAGAAUAAAUAAUCUGGUGUGCCCCAGGGUUUUUGCAUAUAUGGAAGUCCAUAAAACACCUCUUAUAGCAUGUCCUAUUGUGAAAAAAGACAAUCUCCAUUAUAUAAUAUUGAGAAGAUAGGGCCAAUUGGUGUGCCUUAAAGUUUACAGGUUAUGCUAAAUCUAUUUCUUCAACAGAGGCAUUUCUCCAAAAGCUAUUGGAGGAGACUCCUUCUUAGAAUAAAAUGCUUGCAACUCUGCAUUUUCAAUCUUUUUCCUUCAAGGAAGCUUGAACCUACUUGUCUAAUGUUUUAUAGAUUUCUUCUUCAGUAUGUCUCACAGGUAGAACAAAUAACUGGUGCAUUUAGAAAUUUUGCACACCUUUUGUGUUAUCAUUUGUAUUUUUAUUUUCAGAAAUAAAUAUCUUAC
rnacentral:lncRNA from 1 species